rnacentral:rRNA from 1 species
AACGUAGGGGACAAGCGUUAUCCGGAUUUACUGGGCGUAAAGCGCCCGUAGGCGGCCUGACAAGUUGGACGUGAAAGCUCCUGGCUUAACUGGGAGAGGCCGUUCAAAACUGUCAAGCUAGAGUCUGGAAGAGGAGAGCGGAAUUCCCGGUGUAGUGGUGGAAUGCGUAGAGAUCGGGAGGAACACCAGUGGCGAAGGCGGCGUCCUGGACCAAUACUGACGCUGAGGCACGAAAGCGUGGGGGAGCAAACAGG